rnacentral:lncRNA from 1 species
GAAAAUUCAAGAAUCUGCUACUUUAUCUUGUGAUCUUCUGAUUGAUUCAAACAUUUGCUUUCAAUCAAGCAGGAACAUGACUGCUUAAUUUAUUCUCCAACUCAAACUAUAUGCACAAAGGCAACUGCAAUUAUGCAAUAAAACACAAAAGGUGAAAAAGUAAAACUAUAUUGUACUAAGGAAGGAAGUAGGACUUGGAG